UCCAUUUCAUUUUGUUUUGGCAGUUGUGAAAAAACAGUAGACCGCUGGGAUAGAGCCAGGAGUGCUCCUUUCCAAGAACGAACCAGACGGCCGUGCCCUGACCGCUCGCCCCCCCGGACAUCCGAUGAACGCACUCCUCGAAGCCGUGCUCCUAGUGCUGGGGUUCUGGGGGCCCCGGAUUCACUGAGCUGGGAACCACUUCUGGAGCUACAGCAGGGCUCUGAGAGCUCACAAGGGAGCAGCAAAUGAGGCCUGACUAAAAGGAUGACAAAUGUUGCUGAGAAGGAGCAAAUUGUUCUGGAGGAAUUGCUGCUACCACACAUCUUUGGCGAGGACCAGGACUUUGUGAGUCUGUUAACCACUCUGGAAGCCAGAAAGGUAUUUGUAGACGGAUUCACACAGUGUGAUCUAAUUUAUACCACAAGACCAAAGCCAUCUUAUAAUAACACUUUAGCUGAGCAUUUACUACACACCAGAGACGGCUCUAGGUAAGCAUUUUUUUUUAAGAUUUUAUUUGUUUAUUUGACAGAGAGAGACACAGCGA